rnacentral:rRNA from 1 species
UACGGAGGGUGCAAGCGUUAAUCGGAAUUACUGGGCGUAAAGCGUGCGUAGGCGGUUCGUUAAGUCUGUUGUGAAAGCCCCGGGCUCAACCUGGGAAUGGCAAUGGAUACUGGCGAGCUAGAGUGUGUCAGAGGAUGGUGGAAUUCCCGGUGUAGCGGUGAAAUGCGUAGAGAUCGGGAGGAACACCAGUGGCGAAGGCGGCUGGCUGGGGGUGACCUGACGCUGGAGGCGCGAAAGCGUGGGGAGCGAACCGGAAUUGAGAUAC